CGAAGGGGGCUAGCGUUGCUCGGAAUCACUGGGCGUAAAGCGCACGUAGGCGGAUUCUUAAGUCGGGGGUGAAAUCCUGGAGCUCAACUCCAGAACUGCCUUCGAUACUGGGAAUCUCGAGUCCGGGAGAGGUGAGUGGAACUGCGAGUGUAGAGGUGAAAUUCGUAGAUAUUCGCAAGAACACCAGUGGCGAAGGCGGCUCACUGGCCCGGUACUGACGCUGGGGUGCGAAAGCGUGGGGAGCAAACAGGAUUAGAUACCCUGGUAGUCCACGCCGUAAACGAUGGAUGCUAGCCGUUGGCAGGUUUACCUGUCAGUGGCGCAGCUAACGCAUUAAGCAUCCCGCCUGGGGAGUACGGUCGCAAGAUUA
rnacentral:rRNA from 1 species